rnacentral:rRNA from 1 species
UACGUAGGUGGCAAGCGUUAUCCGGAUUUAUUGGGUUUAAAGGGUGCGUAGGCGGACGCUUAAGUCAGCGGUCAAAUCGUGGGGCUCAACCCCAUCCAGCCGUUGAAACUGGGGAUCUAGAGUGUGCGAGAGGUAUGCGGAAUGCGUGGUGUAGCGGUGAAAUGCAUAGAUAUCACGCAGAACCCCGAUUGCGAAGGCAGCCUGCCGCAGCGUUACUGACGCUGAAGCUCGAAAGCGCGGGUAUCGAACAGG